AUUAGAAGGGGCACUCCGUCCCCCUCAAGUCGAGCACUGGUUAUCAGCCCGCAUAGGGUCUGCCAACCCCAACCGUAAUGAAUGUAAUGACGAAGUAAGGAAUGAAAAAAUAGUUUUUCAAAACGCUCGUAGCGAGUUAGCACUCGCAUAGGUAACGGAUUAUUUGAUCUAAUCCGAUAGUUAUUACUUGUCGGGUACUAACGUAAGUUGUGACGCAGCUACUCGUCACCGAAAGACAUAAUUUCGUCUAAGUUAUUUGUAAGCAAUUUAUAUAGUAUUUGAAAAAAAACACCUUGCACUUAGUGUAUGUGUCGCGCCCGAUGCACAUUAUUCGGAAAGUAACGCGUAACUAGGAUUUUGUCAUUAUCCAACCUGUAUACCACAACAUACGUAUUAUCGUAGCAUGCGUUCAUCGACGUACCGUAAAUCGUAUACCCUUCGGUCGUAAAACCGAUAAUUCGGGUAAACGACAUAAGGGGUACUCUGCACUCUGCAGAAAAACAAUAUCCACUCGCAAAACGAACGCGAAAUUAAUUGCUCUACGUGGUACUAUCCUUUAUUUGACAAAAGUUCGGCACGAUGAAAAAAUAAUGGUAAAAUGAUAUUGCCGUCCAAAUGUGUUUGGAUGUUCUCCGAGGUGAUUCUCUUUGUAAUGUUCUCGUCGUAUAAGGAGACCUAAGGGUAUUUUUGUAUUCGACCGAAUUCAAACCAAGUAUUUUAUAUCGUUUGAUCGGCUCUCGUUUAAUAUCAUGAAAUUAAAUCGAACAGCAAAUACUCUACACGAAACGAAUGUAACAUUUAUUUUUCAUGAAUCAUUACGCGUUAUCGGAGACGUCUAAUCUUAAUACAACCCAAAGUUCAUUCUUAAUAUUUACCGAUUGUACACGGACCCCGUGAACUUCAUUCCCAUUGCAAUACCGUUAUUGAUUCCGACUGUAUAUUCUAUAGGUUGUUUAAUACUGUAUGGUUUUAGUGAUUAGCUCGUUUGAAAAUAAUAAACGUAUAGUUUCGUUUUUCGUAUACUCAUAUACAUUUAUAUGUGUGUCGGUUUAAAUGUUGUCCAUACCAUUUUUGAAACAGAAUCAGUGUUUUAAAAUUUUCUUGGAAAAUAUUUUGUUGUGUGCGACGUCAGUAGGUAAGCGAACCACGCCAACGCUAGGACGAAAUAAGUGAGAUGAACUUAAGUGGGUUUACGUUUACCGUGUCUUUAUUUUAUUUUCAAUUAGCCAACGUUUGGACAGACGAGAGAAUAAUUUCUACAAAUUCAACUCUAGAAAAUAUAUAUUUCAAAAUAUUUAAAACUAGCCGUGAUUUAAUUGGCAAUACUAUAACAGAACCAAUAUUAGAAGAAAAUAAAAAAGUAAUGAUAGGUAAUAGUUUGAACGAUAGUAAAAAAAAUGUUCGCUAUUACGAGAGUUUGUCUACCCGCGAAAAAGAAAUUUUUGAGUCAAAAAUAGGCGUAUUACUCGAAAUGUAUUCGAAAUUGAAAGACUUAAUGUUUCACGACGUAAGGAGUUUUUUCAACUUUCUGCGUGGCAAAUGGUCAUACUACUCUUUAGAUAGAUUGCUCAGAGUAAACAUAGACACGUUCAGAGACGCAAAAUAUAAAAUCUUUGAUGUUGUUCAACAAACUAACUCUUAAUUCAUGAACUGGAGAAGGAACAAUUAAACGUGAUAUAAAUGCAGUACGACACGAAUAAAUAAUUGGUAUUAUACCGGAUUAAAAAAAAAAAAUACUAACAUUUCAUUAUUAUUAUAAACUCAGGGUAUAAAAAUCUGGCAAUUAGUAUUUACAUUCAUCCAUCAGUUAAUUAAUGUUUGUAAGUUAACAAUUUUCUUAUAGUAUAUCACCAUUAAUCAAGCUAAAAGUGGAUUGUUUUUUUCAGUAAUUUUACCAUUAUUUAUGUAUGAAUAUAAAUAUUUUUUCGACCGUUUUUCAAUAAAUCUUUUCUUUUUUCGAAGCUUCAGUUGACAACAAAAUUAUCAUUGUUGAAUUACUAAUACUACAACACAGUUUGACUACGAAUACGGUAUUUAAGCGUAAUGUUUCUGUGAUUUGCCCGAUGGUGUGUGUGCUUUGGAACAGCUGUGGUAAAUACAACGGAACCGACUUCUGCGAUAUUACUUUCUGGGCGUGAGAAAGACGGCGUCAGGAGGAGAAGCAGGAGGGAGAAGAAAAACCACGCGUGUUUCGUAUGAUAGUACUAUAGAAGGAAAAAUGACUGAUUAAUGUGCGCUAUUUGGCGGUUAUCUCGGGGGUUCCACUUUGAAAAAGAGCUGAUCUGUUUAAGAUUUCCAAAGCUUACGGAAAUAUACAUAUAAGCCCUGUGAACUUUGUGCGUUCCUUUUCGCCACAACAGCAGCGAUGGUGGUAAUUAAAACUUAUUUUCAUAAUACAGAUUCUAUUAAAUGAUAACGGUGGUAGACGGACGAAAUGUUUUCCGAACUCUUUUUCGACAAAAGACCUUUUGUCGAUCUUUUGAGCGGGGUGCGCCCGAUUACGGAACUAAAAAGCAGCAGCAGCAGAAGCAGUGCCGAUGUAGGCUUGUCGCUGGGCGAAUAUCGUCAUUUCUUCGGACGAAACCCCCAGAGGCCCGUGCACCACCACCGCAGAACCGCAUCAAAGCGACGGAGACAUGGAAAUUAAUUUUCAAAAUUCAAAAAGUUUCCAUAGAGACCCGGCGAUUUGUUAGAGCUGCAGGAUUUUAAUUGUUGAGGGACAAAAACACGCGGAUCGAAAAUGUCUUUCCGUAGUGAAUUCCCCUCGAGAUCAAGAAAUAACCGGUGAGAAACCACAUCAGUCAACCGUGCACAAGACUUUGCGUAUACGAAUUCUACUAUAAAUCCACUUAAAUGUUUGAAUUCAAAAAUAGACGUAUACGCGCGCACUGGCAAUCAUAUAUACAAAUACACACACACACACACACACAUACACAUACGUUACAUUAACAUAAAUCGAUAUAAGACCGUUCAGUCGUACACAAUAUCAACUCAACAACUGUCGUCUGUAUAUAUGUUUUAAAGAUAUUCACGAAAUGCUCUUUUCACCAUCGUGAAUAAUACGACGACAAAUUCGAUGGUGCGAAAGGAAAAACACUCUCUGCCCCGGCACAUCCAUUAUUGCCUAUGUUCAUUGAAAAUCCGGAAUUUAAAAUAAAUCAACAUAUUAUAUAUGUAUAAUAUAUGUAUAUAUAUAUAUAUAUAUAUUACACCCGUGGUGGGUAUAAUAUUGAAUAAAUGGAUUAUCCUUUACAUUUUUUACUAAGCGCGGAAGACACGUACCUAUCUGCAUACUAUAUUAUCAUACACUAAUAUUCUAUACUCCGAAAGCGAAUGGGGGGAGGGAGGCAAUACCUAUAACGUAUUUUUAUUAUGUUAAUAUUUUAUUGAAAUAAGUGAUACGCAAUUCGGAGCAACAAUGUUGUCGAACCGACACGAAAUGAAAUUUUUGUUUUCAAUUCGUAUUUAAUAUGAAUAAAAUAAAGUGUCGAGCACAAAAUUAAUAUUUUAAAAAUUAUAAAUUCAUGCUGAAUUUAACAUAAUUCAUAACUAAUUUUGAAUUUUCCUUCUUAUGUUUUCUAAGGAAAUCGAAAAACGAUAGUUUUAAAGAUUUUUUUCGAUUCGAUUUCGGUCCAAUAAGAUAUCUGAUACUCAUAAGACUUUUAGUACAGUGUUACUUCCCAAUAUCUGAUUAGAGGCUAAAAAACGUAAUUGAAGAAUAAUAAGUACUUCAAAUUCAACCAUUAUUCAUGAUGAUUGAUGAAACGAAAAAAAAUAAUAACUUUAAAUUAGCAUUUGUAUGAAUAUAUUGGUAAUGUUCUUCGAGAAAAUUAUUUAUUUAUACACAUCACAAAGAAAAAAUAGUUCAGCCACUUCAAUAUCCGAUUAAUUAUUGAUACUUAAGUAGUAACGAAACGAACAUACCUAUAACAAAUUUCUCACAAUCGACAUGUUUAAUAAAGUACAAAAAGUUUAAUUUUUUGAUAAAAAAAUUACCUUUUUUUUUUCUACGAUAAACUUUAUAUGCUUUCAUCGUUUUCAUAAGGCCUUACCCGUGCAGCACGAAACAAUACCGAAUCGAAACGGAAGUUUAUUCGGUACACAUUAAUAACAUUCGAAACAGUAUUGUUUUAUGUGUAAAUAAUACGAUACAACUCACACGCACAUACGAUGUAUAUUGGUAGGUUUACUUGAAUUGUACUGUGGACUAUAAAAUCUUCCUUAGUUAAACAAAUACAAUAUAAACACCGAAUUUUAUUUGCAAAACGAGCGUGUAGAUAAAACAACGGUCCAAUAAAAUAUAAGAUUUUUGUAAACGCAGUAUGAUAAUAAACAAUAAUGUUAUAAAUUUACGGGUUCUCGUUUUGCAUACUUAAGCGACUGGGUGCAUUAAAAACUCGAAAUUAUUUUUACGCAACGCACGUAUGUUUAAGUUAUUUUUCAAUUAUUUCAAUUACACUACUGUUUACUGUAUGGACGAAAUAAUAUAUUUUUCAAAUUCACGGUCAACUUUCAAUCCAAUCCAAUAGUUUAUCCGCAUGAGAAACCGUUUAAACCGCUAUUAAAAAUCGCACAAUAUUUCUACACGAGAUUUAAAUUUUCUGUCUAAUGUCUAAGAGAUAUCGUGUGUGCUUUAAUUGAAUUAUUUGAACAAUACUUGGUACAAAACUUACAUUAUAAUAAAGUUUGUUCUGUAUAACCGUAUUGGUGGUUAUCACUAUUAAGUUUAGUUAAACACGGAUCACUCUAAGUUCUGAGUUUAAUUUAUACAUUAACAAUUUUAAUAUUGUUUAUCUAUUUUUAUUAUAGUAGGUACUGUAUAUUAUAUUAGCCUUCUUUAUUAGCUUGUGGUAUUUGGUCUAAAUCAUAGUUCAUACGUAUCGGUGGUAGUUGGGAGUGCAGGUGAGCUUGUGCAACGAUUUCAUAUAUGAAUGAAAAACUGUCAUCAGAUGGUACACAAUAUUUUAUGGAUGGGAUUCGGUAUCAGCACAUGUUAGCUGAGGUGAAUGUUCUAACCACGCUAUUAGUCGGUGCCUUGUUUUGUUCAGGACCACGAAGCCGCAAGAUUUCCGAGAAGAAAAUUAUUAAUAUGACAUAUUUAUAUAAUUAAAAUGCUAUUUAAAUAACUAUCGUAUUUUGUACAAUUGGCGUGAGUGAUCUAUUUGGUAUAAACUAAACGUCUAUCGAUGACAUCUCAAGUAAUCAAAUAAAAUACUUCAAAGUAUAAUAUUUAUGUUGCUGUAUUGAUUCAUAUAAAUUUGAAAUAAUGUACAAUAACAAGUUCUAUAGUU